CAAGAGAGGUAGCGAAUGAUCAAGGAGUAACUGGUGAAGGUGGUGCUGAUACGAUUUUUGUAUUCAGAGUUAUCGAAGAAGGGUUAUGGUGAAUUGAAGAUGAAGAUGGUAUUGAAGUUGUUGAUAAAAGGGGUUUGGUUUAUGUGUGUAUUGAACGAACUUGUGACUUUGAGGACUGAUGGUGGUGAAUUGAAGAACUGGAUUUGGUCUUGUUCAGGAUAAUUUUGGGGAAGUUAUGAAGCUUUAUUUGUUGUGAUUGAGAAGAAGAAGAAUUAGACUCAGGUGAAGGAGGAGUGUGAUGAUACUGACAUGGUUAUGCUGGUGGAGAUGAGUUUAGUUGAUAUUGUUGAACUAGUGGAGGUGCAGAAGUCUUGUUAGAUGCGGCUGCGGAUGUGUAUGACAUGAAGAAUUGAUGGUGGUUUUGUAUGUGGUAGAGUUAUUGAACUUAAUUUAGCAGAACUAAGAUGUUAAUGGUGGUGUUGCUGUUGAGAUAGUGAAGAUGGGUUGUUAGAAUUAGGUUAGUCUGUAGCUGUUGAUUAUGAUGCAGAUUGGUGGUAAAUGGAGAUGUUAUGGAAGGAGUUGGUUUUGGAUAUGUUGGCAGAGAUGUCUAAGUCUGACUUGGGAAUUACAGAUAGAAUACAUGGCAGUGGGUAUAGCAGGACUUGUAAUUGGUGUUUGAUAUCGAUUAAAAUGAGAUGAGCUAGUGCUGGGGGUUUCAAAAUGGGAUUGGUUUGUACAGGAAUGAGGUACAGUCAGAGUUGAACUGAAUUGCAGGGAAGUGUAACUGGAGAUCGUUGGUGGUAUUGAAUUGGUGUUGGUGCCUGUGAGGAUGUAUUGUGAUUGAAGUUUAGUUAGUAAUGGUGGUUAGUGACUUUAGGACUUUAGAAUGUAUAUAUGUGAAUAAUUGGAGUUUUUAUGGUUGAUCAUGGUAUUGUCGGGGUUGUGCAGCAGUAGUGGUUGGGGUGGUGAUUUGAGUUGAAGAUUUCAAUCUAGCUAUAGGUGUUGUUGUUGUUGUAGUGAAAGUUGUAGUUGAGAUUAAGUUCAAAUAUGUUUGUAGAUUAGAUUUCAAUUGAACUGGUAGUGUUUCAGUUUA